CCAGUGUGGCCAUACCACGUGGUUUGUGACGUCAUUUUGGCUAGCACGCUAAGUAGAAAUUUGUCAACAUUGGCCCCGCUUAGAAAUUUCAAAUCCACAUACACAUGAUGACGACCGAAGAGCGAUAUAUUUGUGCCAUAUGCGCCAGAGGGGUACAAGCACAGGCGCUAUUUGGUUUACAAUGAAAGAACACACGCUGGGAUGUUACCCUUUAACUGUUGCGGCGUUGGGUUUUCAUCAAGACGACAAUUACAAAGACACAGGUGCAAUGUACACGGUGACGGAAAAACUAUCUUUGCCUUUAUUGUGGAAAAGAAUUCGCAACGAAGGUAGAUUUAGAUGGCCCGAGAACAGCGCACUCGAGAGAUCGAGUGCCAGAUAUGCAACCACAAGGCCACAACACGGGCUCAUCUCCGAGAACAUCUCAAAACACACAGCGAGGAAAAAACACACGUUUGCCAUGUGUGCAAAGCCGCCUAUAAACACAUAAGUUCACUGUAUAGGCACUUUGGGCAAAAGCACAAAUGACGUGUAUACAGUGGUUUUACUUGUUUGUGAUUUACCCGUGAUUUAUUUGUGAUUUACCCGUGAUUGAAUUGUUGCGAUAAAAGCAUAAUCAUCAGAUCUCAAGCAUAAUUAACAUUUGAACCGUAUCUGUUUAUACCACGAUGUUUACUU